rnacentral:rRNA from 1 species
CCUACGGGAGGCAGCAGCUAAGAAUAUUGGGCAAUGGAGGAAACUCUGACCCAGCCAUGCCGCGUGAAUGAAGAAGGCAUUCGGGUUGUAAAGUUCUUUUAGUCGUGAAGAGGAGGACAGGAGCGACAGAAAAAGCAACGGCUAACGUCGUGCCAGCAGCCGCGGUAAUACGAAGGGUGCACGCGUUGUUCGGAUUUACUGGGCGUCAAGCGUCCGUAGGGGGUUUGGUAAGUCAGGGGGGAAAUCCCGGGGCCCAACCCCGGAACUGCCUUUGAUACUGGCAAGCUGGAGCGUGAUAGAGGUAGUUGGAAUGUCUUUUGUAGGGGUGCAAUCCGUAGAUAUCAGCUGGAACACCAAUGGCGAAGGCAGUCUUCUGGAUCCUCUCUGACACUGAGGCACGAAAGCGUGGGUAGCAAACAGCAUUAGCUACCCUUGUAGUC